rnacentral:rRNA from 1 species
AUGAACGCUGGCGGCGUGCCUAAUCCAUGCACGUCGAGCGAACAGACGAGGAGCUUGCUCCUCUGACGUUAGCGGCGGACGGGUGAGUAACACGUGGAUAACCUACCUAUAAGACUGGGAUAACUUCGGGAAACCGGAGCUAAUACCGGAUAACAUGUUGAACCGCAUGGUUCAACAGUGAAAGACGGUUUUGCUGUCACUUAUAGAUGGAUCCGCGUCGCAUUAGCUAGUUGGUAAGGUAACGGCUUACCAAGGCAACGAUGCGUAGCCGACCUGAGAGGGUGAUCGGCCACACUGGAACUGAGACACGGUCCAGACUCCUACGGGAGGCAGCAGUAGGGAAUCUUCCGCAAUGGGCGAAAGCCUGACGGAGCAACGCCGCGUGAGUGAAGAAGGUCUUCGGAUCGUAAAACUCUGUUAUUAGGGAAGAACAAAUGUGUAAGUAACUAUGCACGUCUUGACGGUACCUAAUCAGAAAGCCACGGCUAACUACGUG